UGGGGAAUAUUGCACAAUGGGGGGAACCCUGAUGCAGCGACGCCGCGUGAGCGAUGAAGUAUUUCGGUAUGUAAAGCUCUAUCAGCAGGGAAGAAAAUGACGGUACCUGACUAAGAAGCCCCGGCUAACUACGUGCC
rnacentral:rRNA from 1 species